ensembl:lncRNA
CCACUUGUUCCUUCCAGUACUGCCUCUGAUCAGCCUGGUAUGUUAAUAAAAUUCAUGCAAAUUUGCUUAUACUGAUUCUUAAAGCCUACUGAUGCAUUGAUUUUGUUUUACAGAGAUGAAGAACUGGAGAGGAUGAUGCUGAGGCUUUCUCAAACAAAAUAUCUCACACAGCUGAGAAAGUGACUCAGGAAUCAUGUCGUGUGUUAUACAGAUCCAUGUCAAGUUCAGCAUGUUUAUGACGCAUAACAUUGCACAUACUGGAGCAAAACUAUUCAAAUGAUAUCGCUUAAUUUUCAGGAUCAUCUGCAGCCACGGGAUCCACAGUCUUAUCUACAGCAGGUUACUUCCCACAUCAGAUUUGGAGGCUUAUUCUGUUGCAUAUAGACUUAUCCUCAAUUUCUGAAUUUAAUUAUCUUAUUUGUUGUUUUGGCCGUGUUCUUGCCUGUUCUAAAAAAUAUGUUAUUUUGUUCCAACUACUGUUACGGGUUGAACAUACCAGUGGUGAGGGUGAGUGCACUUCAUGAAUUGUAUGUAUGGUAUUUAAAGUUUAUUUGUUGUUAAAAGUGGAAUGUUUACUUUGAACUUUUGAACAUUAUUAGAAUUUGCAUUACUAGAAUAAAUAGAAUGAUAAAAUCAACAAUGAUUCCAGUCAUUUAAUGUAGUCAAUACAAUAAUAUACACAUGUACAUUCAGUGUUGUAAUAUAUUUUUAUAUAUUCCUGUGUGUAGGCCUUCUUCACGGGUUUGAAGGCUCUGUACCACCUGCAACAACACAAUCAACACCAGCACCAAUGGCGUCUGCACUGACUGAACCCCCUGUUCCCAGCUACUUGCUACUAAGACUGAUGGCUCUGUACCACCUCCUGCAGCACAAUCAGCACCUACAGCUCCUGCAUCAAUGCCAUCUGCACAGACAGAAGCACCUGUUCCUAGCUACUUGCAAGAUAUUAGCCGCUGGAACUGCUCCCUUCAUCAAAGAAUUUGGAUGAAGACAGAGAUGGAGACCAUGGGGCUCUGGCCAGGAUCACACCUCAUGGAUAUGGUCUCC